rnacentral:rRNA from 1 species
AGCAGUGCCGCGGUAAUACGUAGGGUGCAAGCGUUAAUCGGAAUUACUGGGCGUAAAGCGUGCGCAGGCGGUUAUAUAAGUCAGAUGUGAAAUCCCCGGGCUCAACCUGGGAACUGCAUUUGAGACUAUAUGGCUAGAGUGUGUCAGAGGGGGGUAGAAUUCCACGUGUAGCAGUGAAAUGCGUAGAUAUGUGGAGGAAUACCGAUGGCGAAGGCAGCCCCCUGGGAUAACACUGACGCUCAUGCACGAAAGCGUGGGGAGCAAACAGGAUUAGAUACCCCGGUAGUCCCUGUCUCUUAUACA